rnacentral:rRNA from 1 species
GGCCUGUUUAUCAAAAACAUCGCUUUUUGAAAACUUAAAUAAAAAGUCGAGCCUGCCCGGUGAGGUAUAUUAAACGGCUGCAACGAGAGUUGUACUAAGGUAGCGCGAUAAUUUGUCUUUUAAUUGAAGAAUGGUAUGAAAGGUCUGUCGCAAGUUGCUUGUCUCUGAAAAAGAAAGCGAAGUUUCCUUUUAAAUGAAAAGGUUUAAGUAAAGAUAAAAGACGAGAAGACCCUAUUGAGCUUAAUCAGGUUUUAAAUUUUAUGUGUGAUUAUUAUUUAAAACUAAAGUGUGGUUGGGGAAAGCUAGAUUUAAGAAAACAAGUCUAUAAUAGGCGAAGAUCCUCCUCGGGAGAUAAUUGGUAAAAGCUACCGUAGGGAUAACAGCGUAAUCUUUCUUGAGAGAUCUUAUUGAGGGAAAGGUUUGCGACCUCGAUGUUGGAUUAGAAAAACUUCUUGGUGCAGCAGCUAAGAGUAGUGAGACUGUUCGUCUCUUAAAUUUCUACGUGAUCUGAGUUCAGACCGG